GUAUUUCGCUCUAGCUCUCUAGUUCUCUUAGCUAUCGUUACAUUUUUUUACUCGUGGAAAGUGGAAAGGCAGAAGCGUCGGCUAGUCAGUCACGGACUACUUGACUUCCUUAUGAUGAUUCAAUGUUAAUGACCUCAUUCAAUCUUUUUUUUGAGCCUUCGCUAUCGUGGGCUAGAUGGAUAGCUAGUAGUUAUGAGCAGCAGUCCCCUGACUAUAGAUAGGAAAAGAUGUAGAGGUGCGUGCCACACUCACGAGGGACUGAGAAGUUGACGAAGUAGCGAGUUAAAUGAGAGGCUAGAGUCAAAGGCGAGCCAAUGAGCUUCUCAGUUAAUGAAGAGCUUCCCUUGAUGUGAGCAGAACUAUCUAUUUGAAUUAUUAAGAAAGCGGCCCUCCAUUCCUGCUUUGAGGAGUAGAUUGAAGGGCUUAUCGCUUCUCCUACUGCUGCUCCCGGCCCCGUCCCGCAGCCGACCGAUCUGCUGCCUUAACUUUAGAAAGAUCGUUUUUGUUCAACAUUUCUUUUUUUUUUCUAGAAGUAGGGAAAGUAAG
rnacentral:lncRNA from 1 species